UUUCACUCUUAAACUGGUGUUGAAAGCUGCUGGUAUGACUUGACAGAAAAAUGUAACCAACAUCUUAGCUAAAACUAAAAGUUAGGAAAUAGCCUCAAAGACUCCUCAAAUAUCUUCUGUAACAGGGUUGGUCUGAAGCGGUUCAUUCUUCAAGAUGUUCUGUGAGUGCUCAACUUUAAAAAUUACUCCAGAGACAAAAUUAUGCCACAUGUUGCAGAAGCAUUAUAAAUACAAAAGCCUGGGGAGUGAAGAAUGCUACACAAAGAACCAAGCAGGAAUUUGACAUUCUGCUAUGUAAAAAGGCUGAAAACCAGCUCUGCACUUCAUCUCAGUACAUGUCCUGCUCUGGAAACAAAGGGAUCAGCUAAGCCUCUUUUGGGAAACCAGACAAGUUGUGCUGCAACAAACUAUAAUGCAAUAAGGCUGAAAAAGAGAAGCAAGCAAGUACAAAUGGAAGGUAAGCACAGGGAGUGCUAGACUUCAGGUCCCUCGAAUCACCAAGAUAGCAUUUUUGGUAAUUUUC
rnacentral:lncRNA from 1 species